rnacentral:misc_RNA from 1 species
UUUCCGUAGGUGAACCUGCGGAAGGAUCAUUAUUGUAUAACCGAGGUGCGAGGGCUGUCGCUGACUCGAAAGGUCGUGCACGCCCGAGUGCCCUCACACACAUCCAUCUCACCCCUAUGUGCACCACCGCGUGGGUCCCCCUUUGGCUUGUUCGGAGGGGGGCUUACGUUUUCACACAAACUUUGUAUGCAGUGUAGAAUGUAUUUUUUGUUUUUGCGAUCACGCAAUCAAUACAACUUUCAACAACGGAUCUCUUGGCUCUC